rnacentral:rRNA from 1 species
GAUGAACGCUGGCGGCGUGCCUAACACAUGCAAGUCGAGCGAGGGUUUGCUCAGUAUUGAGUAUUCUAAAACUAGAAUGUUCAAUUCUGAGCAAAACCAAGCGGCGGACGGGUGAGUAACGCGUGGGUAACCUGCCCUAUACACAUGGAUAACAUACUGAAAAGUUUACUAAUACAUGAUAAUAUAUAUUUGUGGCAUCGCAGAUAUAUCAAAGUGUUAGCGGUAUAGGAUGGACCCGCGUCUGAUUAGCUAGUUGGUGAGAUAACUGCCCACCAAGGCGACGAUCAGUAGCCGACCUGAGAGGGUGAUCGGCCACAUUGGAACUGAGACACGGUCCACACUCCUACGGGAGGCAGCAGUGGGGAAUAUUGCACAAUGGGCGAAAGCCUGAUGCAGCAACGCCGCGUGAACGAUGAAGGUCUUCGGAUCGUAAAGUUCUGUUGCAGGGGAAGAUAAUGACGGUACCCUGUGAGGAAGCCCCGGCUAACUACGUGCCAGCAGCCGCGGUAAUACGUAGGGGGCUAGCGUUAUCCGGAUUUACUGGGCGUAAAGGGUGCGUAGGUGGUCCUUCAAGUCGGUGGUUAAAGGCUACGGCUCAACCGUAGUAAGCCGCCGAAACUGGAGAACUUGAGUGCAGGAGAGGAAAGUGGAAUUCCCAGUGUAGCGGUGAAAUGCGUAGAUAUUGGGAGGAACACCAGUAGCGAAGGCGGCUUUCUGGACUGCAACUGACACUGAGGCACGAAAGCGUGGGUAGCAAACAGG